rnacentral:rRNA from 1 species
CCUACGGGUGGCUGCAGUGGGGAAUAUUGCACAAUGGGGGAAACCCUGAUGCAGCGACGCCGCGUGAGUGAAGAAGUAAUUCGUUAUGUAAAGCUCUAUCAGCAGGGAAGAAAAUGACGGUACCUGAGUAAGGAGCCCCGGCUAACUACGUGCCAGCAGCCGCGGUAAUACGUAGGGGCAAGCGUUAACCGGGUUUAAUGGGGGGAAAGGGGGCGUUGACGGCAGUGCAAGUCUGGAGUGAAAGGCGGGGGCUCAACCCCCCGACUGCUCUGGAAACUGGACGGCUGGAGUGCAGGAGAGGUAAGUGGAAUUCCUAGUGUAGCGGUGAAAUGCGUAGAUAUUAGGAGGAACACCAGUGGCGAAGGCGGCUUACUGGACUGUAACUGACGUUGAGGCUCGAAAGCGUGGGGAGCAAACAGGAUUAGAUACCCGUGUAGUC